CCUACGGGUGGCAGCAGUCGAGAAUUAUUCACAAUGGGGGAAACCCUGAUGGUGCGACGCCGCGUGGGGGAAUGAAGGUCUUCGGAUUGUAAACCCCUGUCAUGUGGGAGCAAAUUAAAAAGAUAGUACCCCAAGAGGAAGCGACGGCUAACUCUGUGCCAGCAGCCGCGGUAAUACAGAGGUCUCAAGCGUUGUUCGGAAUCACUGGGCGUAAAGCGUGCGUAGGCUGUUUCGUAAGUCGUGUGUGAAAGGCGCGGGCUCAACCCGCGGACGGCACAUGAUACUGCGAGACUAGAGUAAUGGAGGGGGAACCGGAAUUCUCGGUGUAGCAGUGAAAUGCGGAGAUAUCGAGAGGAACACUCGUGGCGAAGGCGGGUUCCUGGACAUUAACUGACGCUGAGGCACGAAGGCCAGGGGAGCGAAAGGGAUUAGAUACCCCAGUAGUC
rnacentral:rRNA from 1 species